rnacentral:rRNA from 2 species
UGAAGUAAGUAAGGGCGUACGGUGAAUGCCUUGGUGCCAACAGGCGAAGAAGGACGCGGCAAGCUGCGAAAAGCCUCGGGAAGCUGCAAGCAAGCGAUGAUCCGGGGAUAUCCGAAUGGGGUAACCUGAUCGAGGCAAUACUCGAUCGUUCAUACCUGAAUACAUAGGGUAUGAAACGCGAAACCCGCUGAAGUGAAACAUCUCAGUAAGCGGAGGAAAAGAAAGAGAAAUCGAUUCCGUAAGUAGUGGCGAGCGAAAGCGGAUGGAGCCCAAACCGAAGGUAUUCCUUCGGGGUUGUAGGACCACGUCAUAUUCGACCAUACUGGAUAGUAGAACAGCCUGGAAAGGCUGGCCGGAGAAGGUGAAAGCCCUGUAGACGAAAUCCAGAGUGGGAAUUAGUGGUAUCCUGAGUAAUACAUCACACGUGGAACGAUGUAUGAACCCGCGCGGACCACCGCGCAAGGCUAAAUACUAGUUGGCGACCGAUAGUGAACAAGUACCGCGAGGGAAAGGUGAAAAGAACCGCUGUGAGCGGAGUGAAAUAGAACCUGAAACCGUAUGUCUACAAAGUGUCAGAGCAGAGCAAUCUGCGAUGGCGUGCCUUUUGUUUAAUGAGUCUGCGAGUCAGUGUUUGUGGCAAGACUAAGGGCUUCCGGCCCGGAGUCGCAGCGAAAGCAAGUCCGAACAGGGCGCAAUAAGUCGCAGGUACUGGACCCGAAGCGGAGGUGACCUACCCUUGGCCAGGUUGAAGCAUGGGUAAAACCAUGUGGAGGACCGAACAGGUGAACGUUGAAAAGUUCUCUGAUGAGCUGAGGGUAGGAGUGAAAGGCUAAUCAAACCCCGUGAUAGCUGGUUCUCUUCGAAAUGCAUUUAGGUGCAGCGUCACGUGCUGAUGCGCGGGGGUAGAGCACUGACAAGGCUAGGGGGCACACCCGCUUACCAAACCUUAUCAAACUCCGAAUACCGUGCAAUGGAACGUGGCAGUGAGACAGUGGGGGAUAAGCUUCAUUGUCGAGAGGGAAACAACCCAGACCAGCAGCUAAGGUGCCUAAAUAACGCUCAGUGGAAAGGAUGUGGGAUUACACAGACAGUGAGGAUGUUGGCUUAGAAGCAGCCACCAUUUAAAAAAUGCGUAAUAGCUUACUCAUCGAGUGAUCCUGCGCCGAAAAUGAUUGGCGAUCAAGCGUUAUACCGAAGCUCUGGACUUUGCCGCAAGGCAGAGUGGUAGAAGAGCGUUGCAUGCGCGUCGAAGGGCGAUGGCGACUGACCCUGGAGCACAUGCAAGUGAGUAUGCAGACAUGAGUAACGUUAAGCCGGGUGAAAUCCCCGGCCGCCGUAAACCCGAGGUUUCCAGGGCAACGUGUUUCGUCCCUGGGUUAGCCGGGACCUAAGCCGAGGCCGAGAGGCGUAGGCGAUGGACAUCAGGUUAAUAAUCCUGAGCUCGCAACCCUUAAACUGGGGGGACGCAUGAGAAAAGAUGACUAGGUUAUUGAAUUCCGAGUUGAGUCUACGGACUCAGCGCAUCAUUGGAUCGAGUGCCAAGAAAAGCCCCAGCGUAUGCUAAGCGACCCGUACCGCAAACCGACACAGGUGGGUGGGUAGAAUAUACCAAGGCGUAAGAGUGAAACCUGGUUAAGGAACUCGGCAAAUUAGCCCCGUAACUUCGGAAGAAGGGGUGCCUGCAGCGAUGCAGGCCGCAGAGAAAUGGCCCAACCGACUGUUUAUCAAAAACACAGCACUCUGCAAAGACGCAAGUCGAAGUAUAGGGUGUGACACGUGACCAAUGCCGAAAGAUUAAGGCAAGGGGUUAGCCGCAAGGCGAAGCUCUAAACCCAAGUCCCGGUGAAUGUCGGCCGUAACUAUAACGGUCCUAAGGUAGCGAAAUUCCUUGUCGGGUAAGUUCCGACCUGCACGAAUCGUGAAACGAGUUGGGCACUGUCUCAACCAGGCGCUCAGUGAAAUUGUAGUGGCGGUGAAGAUGCCGCCUACCCGCAGAAGGACGGAGAGACCCUAUAGACCUUAACUGUAAGCUGUCAUUGUUUCUUCGGUUUUAAUGCUCAGAGUAAGUGGGAGACGCUGAAGACGCCCUUUAGGGGGCGUCCGAGUCAUCAAUGAGACACCACCCUUUGAAACUGGAGGAUCUAACCCUGAGCCGUGAAUCCGGCCAGAGGACCGUGUCAGCCGGUCAGUUUUACUGGGGCGGUAUCCUCCCAAAGAGUAACGGAGGAGCGCGAAGGUGGGCUCAGCCCGGUUGGCAACCGGGUGUCGAGUGCAUGGGCAUAAGCCCGCCUAACUGUGAGACCAACAAGUCGAGCAGAUGCGAAAGCAGGCCCAAGUGAUCCGGCGGUAGAAAGUGGAAUUGCCGUCGCUCAACGGAUAAAAGGUACCUUAGGGAUAACAGGCUGAUCACGCCCAAGAGUUCAUAUCGACGGCGUGGUUUGGCACCUCGAUGUCGGCUCGUCGCAUCCUGGGGCUGGAGAAGGUCCCAAGGGUCCGGCUGUUCGCCGGUUAAAGCGGCACGCGAGCUGGGUUCAGAACGUCGCGAGACAGUUCGGUCCUCUAUCCUCUGUGGGCGUUGGAAAAUUGAGGGGUUCAGACCUUAGUACGAGAGGACCGGGUCUGACGCACCACUGGUGCAUCGGUUGUACUGUCAAGUGCAUGGCCGAGUAGCUAAGUGCGGACGGGAUAAGCGCUGAAAGCAUCUAAGCGCCAAGCCCUUCCCAAGAUGAGUUUUCCCUACAGGUUCGUGGAAGACCACCACGUUGAUAGGUCGCAGGUGUAAGUGCAGCAAUGUAUUGAGCCGAGCGAUACUAAUUACCAAUUGACUUCAUCAU